rnacentral:rRNA from 1 species
AGAUUGAACGCUGGCGGCAUGCCUUACACAUGCAAGUCGAACGGUAGAGUAGCAAUACUUGAGAGUGGCGAACGGGUGAGUAAUAUAUCGGAACGUGCCCAGUCGUGGGGGAUAACGUAGAGAAAUUUACGCUAAUACCGCAUACGAUCUAAGGCUGAAAGCGGGGGACUCGCAAGAGCCUCGCGCGAUUGGAGCGGCUGAUAUCAGAUUAGGUUGUUGGUGAGGUAAAAGCUCACCAAGCCGACGAUCUGUAGCUGGUUUGAGAGAACGACCAGCCACACUGGGACUGAGACACGGUCCAGACUCCUACGGGAGCAGCAGUGGGAAUAUGGACAAUGGGCGCAAGCCUGAUCCAGCCAUACCGCGUGGGUGAAGAAGGCCUUCGGUUGUAAACGCCCGUUUUUGUAGGAAAGAAAGCAGUUUACGGUAAUACCGGUGUCUGACGUACCAAGAACUAAGCACGGACUAACGUCGUGACCAGCACGCCGACGUA